GUUGAGACAGAAUACCCUUGUGCAUAUAUUUCUCAAAAAUGAUUUCAUUUGUUUUAGGUACAUUUACUAUUUUUCUCACUGGUAUCAGAGUUGUUUUAUGUCAAGUUGAAGCACCUUAUGAUUUCGGAACGAAAACGCAAGGAGAGAGAGGAGAUGAGCUUUCUCCUGCUGAAAUAGCUGGUGUCAGUUUUGCCGCAAUGGCUAUUGUUGCAGCAUUAGUGAUAACAAUUUUAUUCUGUUACUACGUGUAUAAGAAACAAGAGGAACAAGAAUAUGCGUCAAAAUCAUUUUUGGCAGCCAAGUCUCGUUAUUGAGCGGUGAUCUCAUCUUCACUGCAAGACGUCUUCAUUUUGCUCACCAGAUUCCAUGAAAAUAAGCAAACUGGAUUUCAUUUCAAAGACUAUGCUCAAGUUCUAUUUCUCACUUUGCAAAUCUGAAUAGUGACCACAUUUUUUAUACAAUUGCAUAAAAACAAAGUCUCUCUGAAAAUAAAAUUGGCACUUAAACCGAAAGCUCAACAAACGCAUUAAAGGUAAUGAUCUGCAAUAUUUCAUUGACGAAACCAACGAAAAAUUGUCACGAAAUAACUUUCAGUCUACGCUAUAAAUAUUACAACGGUUUACUUUCAUAAAUAAGUGUACAGGGUGAUUCAAAAAAGAUGGGCAUAACUUUUAGAGGUUAAAGUAAUCAUCAAAGAAUGCAGGGUUGGAAAUAACGCGCAAAGGCGUUGGUGCCGUUGGAAACGUGGUCCAUCCAAACGCCUUGUUCCUUGGCUUGCUUGCUCACCAGGUUUUUCAUGCCUCGAUUUCUUUUUGUGGGGACGACUGAAGCCUCUUAUAUCGUGACAUGACUUUUUUCUUGUUGCUAUAAUUAUUUAUUUUUCUGUUUCAUUAGCACCUUAUUUAAUUUGAGUUUGUAUGUUGAUAGGACAAACUCAAAAUAAAGUAAUGUGCUAAUGAAACAGUAAAUUAAGUAGUUAUGGCAAAAAAGUGUCAGGUUAUGGACUCAUUUAUCCAAAGUAUACUGUAAAAUGACCCUUUAACAAAGGAGAUGUAUGAUUUUUGGACUCAUCGAUUCAAUUUUAAAUUACUUUUUUGUUAUUUUUAUGUUACACUAUGUUGUCAUAAUUAAAGUCACUUGUAACCUCCAUGUUCAGUAAAAUUAUAAAACUUUUUUUUCAGAAAAAAUAUUGUUCCUUAGUCUUUCUUUGAAAUUGAAAACAUAUUAGUUUCGUUAAUAACAUCCCAAAAGUAAAGUCUAAAUUUUGUUAUUAACUUUUUUCUUCUUUUUUAUCUCAGCAUGAAACUUUACUUAAUUUCAUGAUGUCCUAAAAAUAUUAUAUUGCUUCAAAGAGUGUCAGUAAAAUCAAGUGUAUAUCCAUCGAUAGAUCGUAGUGCAAACAACGCAGAGUUUCAAGUAGUUUGCGUUUUAUCACAAAUUAAAAAACAGUUAUAAAUGUUUAAAACGUAGCUCACUUGUUAGAGAACCUAAGUUUGAAAACAUUGUUACUACGAAACAAAUAUUAUCCGAAAUACAUUCACUUUGGUAGCGUUCAAUAUUAUCUAUUGAUCUGAAGUCAGCACCGUAACGUAUUCAAUGGAGUACAAGUUUGCAUAGACUUACUUAAUUUAUAUUUUCUGACAUUCAAAUGAAUAAGAGUCUCCAAUCGGUUGAAACAGAGCGUUAGGCUGCUCUGCUGACAGUUAAUUAAUCACACGCAUCCACGAAACAUAUAUAAUCAAUUCUCAACAAAUUUCGCCUCGCUCAGGAAGGCAAGAGCAGACACUGUAACUAUUAGUCAAUCAGCGGUUAAGAAAUGAAAAGGAUUCCAGAAACCAUUUCUUAAGUAAUCUUAAACGUAAAGACGUUUCAUUACAUUUAUUCUGAGAAAAUUCUCUGCAUGAACUGAGAGUGAGAUUUUAAGUAAAUCUCCUUAGCUUAUUAAACUUUGCUUAAAAUUUUACCGAAAACUGUAAGUGAAACGCAAGCAGAUGCACAGAUAUGAUUUCUCUACGUGAAAAUAAACUAAACCUGUCGCAUUCUCAGUUAGUUUGAACCAAGAAAAAGAUUUAGGACUCCCAUCAGAGUGACUUAUAGAUUCUCUCGGGACAUAAUCUUCAAUGUUAGGCGGCAUUUUUCACGCAGUAAAUCGUUUUAAUCUCAGACGAUGCCUAGUUUCGUAGCUAAGAGCUAUUUUUCCUUUGCCAUAAUAACAUUCCCUAAAGGUUUCCCUUAAUUUGCGACGCUUUCAGACAAGAAUGUUGGCGUAGAAAAGGGGAGCCAGCUCAUUCCAUAUACUUAGCGGAGAAGAAUGCGUCUCAAUUUGGAGAUGCGAAAAAGUAUGCACGCUUACUUGAAAGGAAAAGAUUUCAACCUAAUUGCUUGUAUUUUCCAUCUGUAGUUUGUUAUGCCUCUGUUUAACAGAAUCCAAUAUUUUGGAAUUUCAAUCGUGCUUGAGAAAAUUUGAAAUAAAUGAAAAUUUGAAACUUCUUAACCUAGUUAGUUCUGUGAUACUGAAUUUCAUUCCUGAUGCUGCUUCUUAUCCAUUAAAUAUCAUGCAUGAAAUUAAUAAGAAAAAUAUUUUUUAUUGCCUAUGCAUUGUAUUGUCAUUGGUUUUAUGAUUUAUAUGACUAAGUCAUUCCAAUAUUACCAAUAAUCAGGAUUUUUCAUAUUAUACUACUUCCUGAAUUAUGCUACAUAGAAUGUAACACGGGUUCGUCAAAAGCAUGAAAUUGUUUUAUAUCCCAUGUAGGAGAAAUUCAAAGAUGUUUAAGCAAUCUCUUACUCUGCCUAUAUAAAUUAUCUUAAAACUAAAAAUGUCUAAAAAAUAACUAGAACUAGAUCAGACUUUUAGUGUCAAAACGAACUUAGUCAAUGAGUUCUCAUCAUACAUGACAUCGAUGGAGCUGAACCAUAGGUAUUUUGAUUUCUAGUUUGUGUUUCAGCUUCGUCAUUAGCAAUUAUGGGAAAUAUAACCGUAAAUGUUCUUCCUUUUCAGAAUCCAUCGUCUGAAAAGUGUCUGCUAUAAAAUUACAUAACAUUAAUGUAAAAUAAUUAUAAUGUAAAAUACAAAUCGACUCAUAAGUUUUUAACUUUUCAAAAUUUGCUCUUUCUUUUC